rnacentral:ncRNA from 1 species
AAAGUUACGAUAGCGAAUGGGAUUAGAUACUCUAGUAGUCCUAACCGUAAACGAUGGAUGUUAGGCGUUGUAUGAUCCGUGUAAUGAUAUAGCUAACGAGUUUAUUAUCC